GACGAACGCUGGCGGCAUGCCUAAUACAUGCAAGUCGAACGCGGCCAUCCGGUGCUUGCACUGGUGAAGCCGAGUGGCGAACGGGUGAGUAACACGUGAGAAACCUGCCCUGGAGUGGGGAAUAACUCGAAGAAAUUCGAGCUAAUACCGCAUACCUUCUCUUCACCGCAUGGUGAGUUGAAGAAAGAUUUAUCGCUCUAGGAGGGUCUCGCGGCCUAUCAGCUAGUUGGUGAGGUAAUGGCUCACCAAGGCAUCGACGGGUAGCUGGUCUGAGAGGACGAUCAGCCACACUGGGACUGAGACACGGCCCAGACUCCUACGGGAGGCAGCAGUAGGGAAUCUUGCGCAAUGGGCGAAAGCCUGACGCAGCAAUGCCGCGUGCGGGACGAAGGCCCUAGGGUCGUAAACCGCUUUCAGUAGGGACGAAAAUGACGGUACCUGCAGAAGAAGCUCCCGGCCAACUAACGUGCCAGCAGCCGCGGUAAACG
rnacentral:rRNA from 1 species